rnacentral:misc_RNA from 1 species
UUAAAUAUCAAUGCUAAACAUAGCCUAAAUACUAAUAGUGACAUUAAGAUUCGUCAAAUCUCAUCAAUGUCAACAAAACAUUUACACUAAUACAAAUACAUCCACUAUAUGACUAAUAAAUGUCACAUGCAUAUUAACAUCAUUUGUCUCAGAAAACUAAUCGAUCGCGUAGAAAAUUAAUUUUCAGAUAAAAUGUGUUGUUUCAGUGUCUUCCGCCCGCGUUGAAUGUUGCUCCAGUUUAAGCAGGCAAGCAAUGCAUAAAGCAACCAUCUAAAAAGAAAUUAAACUUCACCAACUAAUUGUGUGUGUGCGAGAGAGAGAGAGAGAGAGA